rnacentral:rRNA from 1 species
GGUGUCCUACGGGACGCAGCAGUAGGGAAUCUUCCACAAUGGACGAAAGUCUGAUGGAGCAACGCCGCGUGAGUGAAGAAGGGUUUCGGCUCGUAAAGCUCUGUUGGGAGUGAAGAAAGAUAGAGGUAGUAACUGGCCUUUAUUUGACGGUAUUUUCUUAGAAAGUCACGGCUAACUACGUGCCGGCAGCCGCGGUAAUACGUAGGUGGCAAGCAGUGUCCGGAUUUAUUGGGGGUAAAGCG